UACGGAGGGUGCGAGCGUUAAUCGGAAUAACUGGGCGUAAAGGGCACGCAGGCGGGUUUUUAAGUGAGGUGUGAAAUCCCCGGGCUUAACCUGGGAAUAGCAUUUCAGACUGGGAGGCUUGAGUACUGUAGGGGGGGGUAGAAUUCCAGGUGUAGCGGUGAAAUGCGUAGAGAUGUGGAGGAAUACCGAAGGCGAAGGCAGCCCCUUGGGAAUGUACUGACGCUCAGGUGCGAAAGCGUGGGGAGCAAACAGG
rnacentral:rRNA from 1 species